GGUCCCGUAGUUCAACUGGAUAGAAUAUCAGAUUUCGGCUCUGAGGGUUGGGGGUUCGAAUCCUCCCGGGAUCG
rnacentral:tRNA from 1 species